GUUUUUUUCACCGAUUGGGCCAAACCGGAUUCAGCCCGUUGUGUUUUUUUUCCUGCUGCGAAUUUAGACAUUAUCCAGUGUUUAACAGAUUUGCAGAAACCCCCUUUAACUUCAUGCAUUAAUAACUAAUAAACCGUGCAUCGGAUUAAAAUGUUUUAUAUAUGUAAAAUGCUUAGAAAAUUGUGUAGAUUAAUAAUAUGCCAUUUUCAUCCAUGCUUAAAAUGUUUAAAUUGAUGUUUGCAUUAAUUUGCAUUAUGCCAUGUUAAAAUGCUUUAAUUCAUAACUAAAUAACCAUAGCUCCAAAUUAAUUAAACUUUAUAUGUAAAUGGGGUGGAAAAAUGCCUAGUUUAACAUGGUGCACUUUAUUUUCCUGUUUAACAACAUUAAAAUAUGGUUUAGGGCAGAACAGUACCAAAUUCAUAAUUUGCAUAUGGGGAUUUUCCGGAAUUGUUGUUUGUUGUUCCGGCCUCAUUUAAACUUGUCUAGAUAGGUAGUUUUUCUCGUGCUUCACCUCUUGCCAUGUUUAAUAAUAUUUAAUAUUGUUUGGUAGCUAAACGAGAUCAACUAAAUAAUUGCUUGUGGUGUUUCAUCAAUAUGCAACUCGUUGCAUAUUGAGCUCCACUUAACUUGUAGUAUUGUUUGUUGCACUUUGCCAUGCCAUGCCUCAUUAAACCGGGCAUGCAUCAUAUUUGUUUGUGCAUCUUGCCAUGAUUAUGCUUGUGUGUUUACCAUGUUGUCUGCCUCUUUCCAGGUUGCCUUCGGUUUCGUUUCGGAGUUGUGAGGAUUCGUUCGACUUCUCCCGUUCGUCUUCUUCAUGGACUCGUUCUUCUUCCUUGCGGGAUUUCAGUUGCAGGUACAGGUUUAUGCGAUGAUCAUGACGCGAGAGCGAUGUUUGCUUGUGUUGGAGUUCUUCUUCUACUUCUUCUUCGAUCAGGGAUAGGUUCCAGGUCGGCAGCCUGGGCUAGCAGGGUGGAUGUCGUUUGAGUUUCUGUCUGUGUUUCAUCCGUAGUCGGAUGAUGCUGUUAUGUAUUGUGAUGUUGUAUUCGAGUGGCAUUGUAUGCCUUAUGUAUGUAUCCCCAUCUAUUAUGUAAUGUUGAUGUAAUGAUAUCCACC
rnacentral:rRNA from 1 species